GUAAGGAUAAGAUCAUAUUGUAUACUUUGUUAGUUAUCUAAUAUAUAUAUAAAUAUACAUAUAUGUAUAUUGUAUUCAUAAAUAUAAAAGAAUAUUGAUAAUUAAGCUCUAGUUUUCAAAAGUAUCUUUUCAUACUAAUAUGAUUUGUAAGAAAUUAGUGGCAGACUUAAACAUCCUGAAAAAUCAUGUAAAUAAUGUUUUAUUGUACUAGAACAACAAAAAAGCAACAUUAAAUUUAUUUGAUUCUCACUUUUUCUGCCUUUAGUUCUUGGAAGAGCUGGACAAUGAAAAAAAUAAUCUACUGCAUUUUAAAUAGUGAAAUGGACACAGACAAACAUGAUGGUUUAGAAUGGCCUUCAAGCUCACUCUCAGACAUCUUUCCCAUAACUGGACUGUACUACUGUUAAAAAUAGCUAUGAUGAAUUGAAAUGACUCUGUACUACUACCUCCUCUUUCUGUGGUUAGUCUUCACAGUUCUAUCACGGAAUACUAAUGCCGUGUAUAAGGACAUGUUCACCAUAACUCUGGCUAGAAGAUCAGAAAUAGGACUUGGGAGACUUUUGCCUCCACUGUUACCUCUGUGGAAACAGUGUGAUCACUAUGCUAUCACAAAUCAAACCAGCCGAUAUUUUCCCUAGGAAGAAUGAUUUGAAGAGCAAAUGUUGCCCUAACAGUGGACCACCUCAUCUGACCCCAGGCCCUAUUGCUUUAUGCAGGGAUGGAGAGCAGAAAGCCAGAAGCUCUCAAAAUGAAGAAAGAUGAGUCUGCUGCCAGUGCUAUGCCAUCCUGGAAAGUAUGGGAAGACUUUGGUAGCCAAUGAUGAAAAAAGGAACAGGGGCAAGCUAGACUGCUCUUGCAGUUGCAGCGUAGUAUGCCCAGGCUACUCAGAUCUAACUGAGAUGUGUUCUGUAUAACGGUGGCUGUCACAAUGGUGAUUCUUGUCAGUGUGGUGAUAUCAUAUACAAUUGUUUGCAGUGAAUAAAGAAACAUUCAGC
ensembl:lncRNA